rnacentral:rRNA from 1 species
UACAGAGGGUGCAAGCGUUGUUCGGAAUUACUGGGCGUAAAGCGCGCGUAGGCGGACCUGCAAGUCGGGGGUGAAAGCCCGAGGCUCAACCUCGGAACUGCCUUCGAUACUGCGGGUCUCGAGUCCGGGAGAGGUGAGUGGAAUUCCUAGUGUAGAGGUUGAAAUUCGUAGAUAUUUAGGAAGAACACCAGUGGCGAAGGCGGCUCACUGGCCCGGUACUGACGCUGAGGCGCGAAAGCGUGGGGAGCAAACAGG